GUUUGGAUGGAUGAAUGGUUGGCAGAGAACUUUAUUUCAGGUUGGAACUGCAGUCCUUAUAGUACUUAUUUUCUUCCUGUUCUUAAUCUGUUGUGUGUUCCCUUGCAUACAAAGGUACCUACAGAAAGCAGUGGGUAAGACUAUAGAUGACGCAACUCCUACCUCCCUACAUCAGGAUGUUACAGAACUAGACUAUGACGCACCACACACACCUCUUCAAC